rnacentral:rRNA from 1 species
GAUGAACGCUGGCGGCGUGCCUAAUACAUGCAAGUCGAGCGAACGGACGAGAAGCUUGCUUCUCUGAUGUUAGCGGCGGACGUGUGAGUAACACGUGGAUAACCUACCUAUAAGACUGGGAUAACUUCGGGAAACCGGAGCUAAUACCGGAUGAUAUUUUGAACCGCAUGGUUCAAAAGUGAAAGACGGUCUUGCUGUCACUAAUAGAUGGAUCCCCGCUGCAUUAGCUAGUUGGUACGGUAACGGGUUACCAAGGCAACGAUGCAUAGCCGACCUGAGAGGGUGAUCGGCCACACGGGAACUUGAACGCGGUCCAGACUCCUGAGGGAGGCAGCAGUAGGGAAUCUUACGCAAUGGGGGAAAGCCUUACGGAGUGACGGCGCGUGAGUGAUGGAGGUCCUCGGAUCGUAAAACUCUGUUAUUAGGGAAGAACAUAUGUGUAAGUAACUGUGCACAUCUUGACGGUACCGAAUCAGAAAGCCACGGCUAACUACGUG